rnacentral:rRNA from 1 species
UGAGGAAUAUUGGUCAAUGGGCGAGAGCCUGAACCAGCCAAGUAGCGUGCAGGAUGACGGCCCUAUGGGUUGUAAACUGCUUUUAUAUGGGAAUAAAGUGAGGGACGUGUCCCUUAUUGCAUGUACCAUACGAAUAAGGACCGGCUAAUUCCGUGCCAGCAGCCGCGGUAAUACGGAAGGUCCAGGCGUUAUCCGGAUUUAUUGGGUUUAAAGGGAGCGUAGGCUGUUUGUUAAGCGUGUUGUGAAAUGUAAGAGCUCAACUUUUAGAUUGCAGCGCGAACUGGCAGACUUGAGUGCGCAGAACGUAGGCGGAAUUCAUGGUGUAGCGGUGAAAUGCUUAGAUAUCAUGACGAACACCGAUUGCGAAGGCAGCUUACGGGAGCGCAACUGACGCUAAAGCUCGAAGGUGCGGGUAUCGAACAGG